rfam:Chelonia mydas contig201681, whole genome shotgun sequence.
UCCUUGUUAGUAUAGUGGUGAGUUUUCCCGCCUGUCACACAGGAGACCGAGGUUUGAUUCCCCGAUGAGGAG